rnacentral:rRNA from 1 species
GGUCAGUAACACGUGGCUAACUUACCCAUAGGACGGGAACAACCCCGGGAAACUGGGGCUAAUACCCGAUAGAUGAGGAGGCCUGGAAUGGUUCCUAGUCGAAAAGGCGUUGAAGCCAUGCUUUUCGACGUCGCCUAAGGAUGGGGCCGCGCCCGAUCAGGUUGUUGGUGGGGUAACGGCUCACCAAGCCUAUAACCGGUACGGGCCGUGAGAGCGGGAGCCCGGAGAUGGGCACUGAGACAAGGGCCCAGGCCCUACGGGGCGCAGCAGUCGCGAAAACUCCGCAAUGCGCGAAAGCGUGACGGGGCUACCCCGAGUGCCGUCCGCUGAGGAUGGCUUUUCCCCGGUGUAAUGAGCCGGGGGAAUAAGGAGAGGGCAAGUCUGGUGUCAGCCGCCGCGGUAAUACCAGCUCUCCGAGUGGUAGGGAUGAUUAUUGGGCUUAAAGCGUCCGUAGCCGGCUCAGCAAGUCUCCUGUUAAAUUCAGCGACCUAAUCGUUGAGCCGCGGGAGACACUAUUAGGCUAGGAGGCGGGAGAGGCCGACGGUAUUCUCGGGGUAGGGGUGAAACCC